ACACACACACACACACACACACAGAUAUAUUAGUGUUUCGAUGGUGUGAACGUGAGUGUGUAAUGUGAGGGGUGCACUUUGGUCAGUGAGCACAAUCGCAAACACAAAAUGUGGACAUCAUCGAGCCCUGCAGCGUCGAUGACAUCAGCUGUUUGAAGAGGAGCGUCUCCUGAACGUGUGAGUGAUUUCUUCUUUUAUUUUAAUUUAACUAGCAAGGAUGCAGACAGAAAAACGACGUGUUUGAAAGAAGCUCAGCUGAGAAAUGAUUCCACCGAUACGGAGCAUAAAUACAGACGGAGUCCUGGUGCUACAGUAGAUACCAAACUUCAUCUUUGUCCAGUUAUGGCCGGCAGUAAAUUCAGAGGCUCGUUGUCUAACAUGAAAUAUUUGUGUGUGUGAGUGUGUGUGUGCAUGCAGAUGCUCGACCUGACCCGGUGACCCUCAGCAGUCGAUGCCAAGAGGUGACUGAUGGAGGAAGAGGAGGCCCCAGCCACUCCGGUGUGUGUUGCAGAGAUGGAAGAGGUUACGACAGUGGACGGAAAGAAGAAAGAGUCUUUCCAGGAGACGGUGGUAACAACAGUGACAACGAUGACCAGGAUGGAUGUACAGGAGAGGGAGGAGGUUGAAACUGAGAAAAUAACUGAGGAGGAAGAGGAGGAGGAAGAGGAGGAGGAGGAGGAAAAGAUGGAGGAGGAAAAUGAAGCAGGAAUGGAGGCAGGAGAAGAGAAUGGACGGGAAGAGAAGGGUCAUGCAAAGAAGUUGUUGGGCUCUUGGGAAUCCGAGGUCUCAGCUGAUGAAAAGCCUCCGCUACCAGAUCCAGCGUUUAACAGGAGAUGCAGUUUGCUCGUCAGUGACGUGAAGUAUAAGGAGGACUUUGAGAAGAUGAGGGGUCAGAGUCUGUUUGUUCCCGGAGCCGAACUCAUCCACGCCAAGAACAUCAGUGCUGUGAUAUCCGAGUCGAAGUACAAAGAGGACGGAAAGAAGGAAGCGUCCAUGUCUCUGUACUCCAUCCUGCCGGAGACUCCGGAGACUCAGCGCGCCAGAGAGACUUCAGAGCUGCAGAGCGAGAUUAAAUACAAAGGGAACGUGAAGACAGACGUUUCCACCUCUCUGUAUUCACUGAUGCCCGAAACCACGGAGACGCAGUUUGUCAAAGAGCUGACGGAGAUACUGAGUGAGAACAAGUACAAAGAGGAAGGAAAGAAGGAGAUGAGCAGCAGUUUGUACUCUCAGCUUCCUGAAACCGCCGAGAUGCAGCUGGCCAAGACGCUGCACGAGUUUCAGAGCGAGAAAAAGUACAAAGAGGACGGGAAGAGAAAGGCCUCGACCUCGCUCUAUUCCCAACUCGCCGACACUCCAGAAAUCCAGCACGCUCUGGAGGUGUCUCAGCUGCAGAGUGAGGUGAACUAUCGGCCGAAGGUGCUGGUUAGAGGAGCUCCUUCCUCUCUGUACUCUCAGCUCCCCGACACCGCAGACAUCCAGUUUGCCAGAGAGAUGACUGAGAUGCAGAGCGAGAGUAAAUACAAGGAGGGCGGCAGGAGGAGCCUCUCGCAGAGUUUCUACUCUCAGCUCCCGGAGACCGCCGAGACUCAGUUUGCUAAGACUGUCGCUGAGCUGCAGAGCGAGAUGCGGUACAAGGAAGCGGGUAAGAAGGGCGGGAACUCGAGUUUGUACUCUCUUCUCCCGGAGACUUUGGAGACGGCUCAUGCCAAGGAAGUGUCUGAGCUCUACAGUGAGGUGAAGUAUAAAGAGGACGGUAAGAAGGAGAUGAGCAUCAACCUGUACUCUCUGCUGCCUCAGACCAUCGACACCCAGCACGCCAAAGAGGCGUCACAGCUGCAGAGCGAGGUGAAGUAUAAAGAAGGUGUGAAGCAGAAGAUUCAGAGCAGUUUGUACCAUCAGCUCCCAGAGACCACCGAGACACAGCUGGCCAAACAGCUGUCUGAGCUGCAGAGUGAGGCGAAGUAUAAAGAAGCGGGAAAGAAGGAAGUGAACACCUGCCUUUACUCUCUGCUGCCUGAAACUCUGGAGACUCGACGCGCCAGAGAGACGUCGGAGCUGCUCAGUGAGAUUAAGUACAAGGAGAGCGGGAAGAAGGAGAUGUGCAGCUCGCUCUACUCCACUCUGCCCGACACGUCAGAAAGCAGCUUCGCCAGAGAGAUGAGCGACAUGCAGAGCGAGAAUAAAUACAAGCAGAGCGUCGUGAAGAGUCUCUCACAGAGCGUCUACUCUCAGCUGCCGGAGACCGCCGAGACGCAGUUUGCUAAAAGUGUUUCUGAGCUGCAGAGCGAGAUGAAGUACAAAGAAGCUGGGAAGAAAGGAGCCAUGAGCUCUGUGUACUCGACUCUGCCUGAGACUCUGGAGACGCUGCACGCUAAAGAAGCUUCUGAACUGCAGAGUGAGCUGAAGUACAAGGCGGCUCAGAAGAAAGUUCGUUCCUCCAGUCUGUUCCACGUGCUGCCCGAGACGUUAGAGACGGCCCACGCUAAGGAAGCCUCCGAGCUCCUCAGCCAGGUGAAGUAUAAAGAGGACGGUAAGAAGGAGAUGAGCAUCAACCUGUACUCUCUGCUGCCUCAGACCAUCGACACCCAGCACGCUGGAGAGGCGUCAAAGCUGCAGAGCGAGGUGAAGUAUAAAGAAGGUGUGAAGCAGAAGAUUCAGAGCAGUUUGUACCAUCAGCUCCCAGAGACCACCGAGACACAGCUGGCCAAACAGCUGUCUGAGCUGCAGAGUGAGACCAAGUACAAGGAGGCGGGUAAGAAGGAGGCCAACACGUGUCUGUACUCCCUGCUGCCUGUCACCAUGGAGACGCAGCACGCUAAAGAAGCCGCAGAGCUGCUCAGCGAGGUCAAAUACAAGGAGAGCGGGAAGAAGGAGAUGUCCAGCUCCCUCUACUCCACUCUGCCCGACACGUCAGAGACCAGCUUCGCCAGAGAGAUGAGCGACAUGCAGAGCGAGAACAAGUACAAGGAGGACGGAAAGAGGAGCCUCGCUCAGAGCUUCUACUCUCAGCUGCCAGAAACCAGCGACACUCAGUUUGCUAAAAGUGUCUCUGAGCUGCAGAGCGAGAUGAAGUACAAAGAAGCUGGGAAGAAAGGAGCCAUGAGCUCUGUGUACUCGACUCUGCCUGAGACUCUGGAGACGCUGCACGCUAAAGAAGCUUCUGAACUGCAGAGUGAGCUGAAGUACAAGGCGGCUCAGAAGAAAGUUCGUUCCUCCAGUCUGUUCCACGUGCUGCCCGAGACGUUAGAGACGGCCCACGCUAAGGAAGCCUCCGAGCUCCUCAGCCAGGUGAAGUAUAAAGAGGACGGUAAGAAGGAGAUGAGCAUCAACCUGUACUCUCUGCUGCCUCAGACCAUCGACACCCAGCACGCUGGAGAGGCGUCAAAGCUGCAGAGCGAGGUGAAGUAUAAAGAAGGUGUGAAGCAGAAGAUUCAGAGCAGUUUGUACCAUCAGCUCCCAGAGACCACCGAGACACAGCUGGCCAAACAGCUGUCUGAGCUGCAGAGUGAGACCAAGUACAAGGAGGCGGGUAAGAAGGAGGCCAACACGUGUCUGUACUCCCUGCUGCCUGUCACCAUGGAGACGCAGCACGCUAAAGAAGCCGCAGAGCUGCUCAGCGAGGUCAAAUACAAGGAGAGCGGGAAGAAGGAGAUGUCCAGCUCCCUCUACUCCACUCUGCCCGACACGUCAGAGACCAGCUUCGCCAGAGAGAUGAGCGACAUGCAGAGCGAGAACAAGUACAAGGAGGACGGAAAGAGGAGCCUCGCUCAGAGCUUCUACUCUCAGCUGCCAGAAACCAGCGACACUCAGUUUGCUAAAAGUGUCUCUGAGCUGCAGAGCGAGAUGAAGUACAAAGAAGCUGGGAAGAAAGGAGCCAUGAGCUCUGUGUACUCGACUCUGCCUGAGACUCUGGAGACGCUGCACGCUAAAGAAGCUUCUGAACUGCAGAGUGAGCUGAAGUACAAGCAGAGUUUAAAGACAGACUCCAGUCUGUACCACCACAUGCCGGAGACCCUCGACACUCAGUUUGCCAGGCAGCAGACGGAGCUGCUGAGCGAGGUCAAGUACAAAGAAGACAGCAAGAAGGAGAUGAGCGUCAACCUGUACGGUCUGGUGCCCGACGCCGUCGACAUCCAGCACGCCAAAGAGCUGACAGACAUGCAGAGCGAGGCUAAGUACAAAGAGGCCGGUAAGAAGCAGGCGUCCACGUCUCUGUAUCAGCGACUGCCUGAAACUCUGGAGACUCAACACGCUAAAGAAGCUUCACAGCUGCAGAGUCAGAUCUUGUACAAGGAGGCUGGUAAGAAGGACUUGUCGUGUCCGGCUUACCACCGGCUGCCCGACACUCUGGAGAACCAGUUUGCCCGAGAGCUCACCGACAUGCAGAGCCACAACAAGUACAAGGAGGACGGGAUGAGGAGCCUCGCUCAGAGCUUCUACUCUCAGCUGCCAGAAACCGCCGAGAUUCAGUUUGCUAAAAGUGUCUCUGAGCUGCAGAGCGAGACUAAGUAUAAGAAGUCCGGGCGGCAGGAGGCCGGCAGCUGUCUGUACUCUGUGAUGGCAGAAACUCUGGACACUCAACACGCCAAGCAGGCGUCCCAGAUCCAGAGCCAGGUGAAGUACAGAGAGGACGUGCAGAAGGAGCUGUCGUCCAGUCUGUUCUCCAGCCUCCCUCAGACGCUCCAGACCGAGCUGGCCAAGGAGGUGACGGAGCUCCAGAGCCAGGUGAAAUAUAAAGACGGCUGUAAGAAGGAGGCGUCCUCGACGCUCUACCACCUCCUCCCCGAGACGGCAGAGAUGCUUUUUGCCAAACAGAUGUCGGAGAUGCAGAGCGAGACAAAGUACAAGAAGGACAAAGAGGAUCUGCCCAUCACUCUGCACUCGCUGCUGCCUGAAACUCUGCACACUCAGUUUGUCAAAGAGAUGGCCAACACACACAGCGAGGUGAAGUACAGGCAGGCUGUGAAGCAGCAGGCGUCGUCUCUGUUCUCCAAACUGCCCGAAACUCUGGAGACCAAACACGCCAAAGAAGUGACCGAGCUGCAGAGUGAAAGGAAGUACAAAGAUGGAGGCAGGAAGCAGAUGACGUCGUCUCUGUACUCUCAGCUUCCUCAAACUUCAGAGACGCAGUUCGCCCGAGAGGUCGCUGAGAUACAGAGCGAGAACAAAUAUAAGCAGAGUGUGAAGAGGAGCCAGGCGGUCAGUGUUUACUCUCAGCUCUCAGAGACCAACGACAUCCAGUUCGCCAAAUCUGUGUCCGAGCUGCAGAGCGAGAGCAAAUAUAGAGAAGCAGGGAAGAGAGCGGCGUCCAGCUGCCUGUACUCCAAGCUGCCGGAGACUCUGGACACUCUGCACGCUAAAGAGCUUUCCCAGCUGCAGAGCCAGGUGACGUACAAACAGGACCGUAAGAAGGAGGCGAGCAGCUCUCUGUAUCACCAGCUGCCUGAAACCACAGAGACACAGCUGGCUAAAGAGCUGCGAGACCUUUACAGCGAGGUGAAGUACAAAGAAGGCGGGAAGAAGGAGACCGGGAAGAACCUGUACUCGCUCCUCCCGGAGACGGCAGAGACCGAGUUCGCCAAGCAGAUGUCCGAGGUCCAGAGUGAGACAAAGUACAAGAAGGACAAAGAGGAUCUGUCCAUCACUCUGCACUCGCUGCUGCCUGAAACUCUGCACACUCAGUUUGUCAGAGAGAUGGCCGACACACACAGCGAGGUCAAGUACAAGGAAGCGGUGAAGAAAGAAGCCGGCAGCUCUCUGUACCACCAGCUGCCCGAGACUCUGGAGACGCAGCGUGUGAAAGAGGUUACGGAGCUGCAGAGCGAGAACAAGUACAAGCAGAGCGGGAAGAAGUCCAUGUCGUCCAGUCUGUACGCUCAGCUGCCACAGACGGCCGAGACGCAGCUCGCCGCCAAGAUGUCGGACCUGCAGAGCGAGAGUAAAUAUAAGGAGGACGGGAUCAGGAGCCUCUCGCAGAGCUUCUACUCGCAGCUUCCUGAAACUACCCAGACUCAGUUUGUUAAAACUGUCUCUGAGCUGCAGAGCGAGGCCAAGUACAAGGAGGCGAGCAGGAAGGAGGCGAGCAGCUGUCUGUACCACCAGCUGCCUGAAACUCUGGAGACGCUGCACGCUAAAGAGGCCACGGAGCUGCAGAGUCAGCUCAGGUACAAGGAAGGAGGUAAGAAAGAGCUGAGCACCAACCUGUACUCAGCGCUGGCCGAGACAGAAGAGAUGAAGCUCGCUAAAGCCGCCAUGGAGCUCCAGAGCGAGAAUAAAUACAAGCAGAAAGGCAGACUGGAGAUCAGCAGCAGCGUCUUCCACCACAUGCCGGAGACCAAAGAGAUGGAGUUUGUGAAGCAGAUCUCUGAACUGCAGAGCGAGACAAAGUACAAGAAGGACAAAGAGGAUCUGCCCAACACUCUGUACUCGCUGCUGCCCGAAACUCUGCACACUCAGUUUGUCAAAGAGAUGGCCGACACACACAGCGAGAGUAAAUACAAGGAGGCGGGUAAGAAGGAGCUGGUGAACUCUCUGUACUCUGUGCUGCCAGAGACCAAAGACACUCAACACGCCAAAGAGCAAACUCAGCUGCACAGUGAGAAAGCUUACAGGGAGGAGGGGAAGAAGGAGGCCGGCUGCAGCCUGUACGCUCUGAUGCCACAAACCAUCGAGACCGUGUUUGCUAAGGAGCUGACCAAGACGCAGAGCGACAAGUUCUAUAAGGAGAAGUUUAAUCGUGAGAAGGGGAAGUCCAGCUACACCAACAUGAAAACACUGCCGGAGGUGGAACACGCCAUGGAGGUCAACAAGAAGCAGAGCGAUGUCAGCUACAGAAAAGGCAAAGAGGAGCUGCAUCACUACAACACGGCGGCAGACAGACCGGACAUCGUCAACGCCACCAACGCUGCUAAACUGGCCAGCGACGUUGCCUAUAAGAGUAACACCAAGCUGCCAGUUUACAGUGACGGCUCACUUUUGGACAGAACUGACAUCCAGCACGCCAAGGAGGUUUCAAAACUGGCCAGCCAGGUGAAGUAUAAGGAGAGUUUCGACAGACAUUUAAAGGGCCAGCGUCCUCGUUACAACCCGCUAGACUGUCUGUCGUUCAAACACACACAAGCUGCUUCUGCUCUGGCCAGUCAGGUGAAGUAUAAAAGCAACCAGAACCAGAAACCAGAAGGUUCCUCAGACCUGCCGAACCUCCUGCAGCUGGAACACGUGCUGCACGCCAGCAAGCUGCAGAGUAACGUGGAGUAUAAGAAGAAGUACGAGCAGACGAAGGCUGAGUACCACAUCGCUCUGGACACGGCUGAACAGCUCCACCACAAGGAGAACGCAGUGCUGCACAGCCAGGUGAAGUACAGAGAGGAGUACGAGAGGAGCAAAGGUCGCUCUCAGCUGGAGUUUGGAGACACUCAGACGUACAAAGUGUCCAAAGAAGCGCAGAAGAUGCAGAGUGAGAAAGAGUAUCGGAGAGACUAUGAGGAGCAGGUGAAGGGGAAAGCCUUGGUGGAUGUAGACCAGACACCUGGAUACCUGACAGCCCGCCACGCCAGCAGCCUGCUGAGCGAGAAGGCGUACAGGAAGGACCUGGAGCAGGAAGUGAAGGGGCGGGGCUUAUCCGGCAUGGGGCUGGAGGACACACCUGAGCUCCUGAGGGUUAGAAAUGCCAAUCAGAUUCUGAACCAGAAGGAGUACCGCAGGGAUUUACAGAGGGACAUUGUGGGUAAAGGCAUGGAGCUGAGCGCGGACGUUCUUGAGAUACAACGAGCCAAGAGAGCCUCAGAGAUCCAGAGCCAGAGGUCCUACAAGCAGACCGAGCAGCUCAGAGAAAACUUGUACGGGACGAUGACAGACACUCCUGAACUGCUGCACGCCUCCUACCUCAAAGACAUCUACAGCCAGAAGAAGUAUAAGGACGAAGCGGCACGCCUGACGGGAAGCUACAGUCUGGUCUCAGAAACUCCAGAGAUGGAGCGAGUCAAAGCGAACCAGAGACACAUCAGCUCUCUGCGAUACUGCUGGGACUCGAAGCUGAUGAGAGGGCUGAUGUCUUCAGUCGCGGAGACACCAGAGAUCGUCCUCGCCAGAGAGAACGCCAAGAAGAUCAGCGACGUCCAGUACAGGGAGGAAGUGGGCCGUGGCACCGCCGUCAUCGACACACCUGAGAUGGAGCGAGUCCGACGCAACCAGGAGAACAUCAGCACGGUAAAGUACCGGCAGAGUGCCGUGAAGGCCACCAGCGUCGGACUGACUCCAGAACUGGAGAGAGUCAGACAGAACCAGGAGAACAUCAGCUCGGUGAAGUACCAGCGCGGGCUGCAGGAGAUGAGAGGCCGCAGCUGCACCGAGCUGGACACACCUGAGUACAGGCGUGUCAGGAAGUCACAGGACUCGGUCUCCAUGGUAGUAGCCUGGUUGCCGUGGCUCCCGCCUGGAUUGCGGGUGGAGCUAACGCGAGUGACGUGGUGGCACUGCGGGUGGGACUGACGCACCGCUACUAACACCGACCACCAGACAGCAUGGAGAACAGAGCUGUGUGUGUGUGUGUGUGUGUGUGUGUGUGUGUGUGUGUGUGUGUGUGUGUAUGUGUUAACUCUGUGUGUGUGUCAUUUCCGUGAUAAAUGUGUGUGUAUACUCUUUAACAGGCCAAGUACCACGAGGAUUUUGAACGGGCGCGCGGCCGAGGCUGUACGCCCGGAUUGGACGAUCCCAG